rnacentral:rRNA from 1 species
GACGAACGCUGGCGGCGUGCUUAACACAUGCAAGUCGAACGGAAAGGCCCUGCGUUUGUGUCGUGCUCGAGAGGCGAGCGGGUGAGUAUCACGUGAGUAACCUCCCCUUGGCUUAGGGCUAACUUCAGGGGACUGGUGCUAAUACCGGAUAGGAGCUCCUGCUGCAUGGUGGGGGAUGGUAAGUGUCGGCGGUUGGGGCUGGACUCGCGGAUUAUGAGCUUGUUGGGGUGGUAGUGGAUUACCAAGGCUUGGACGGGUAGCCGGCCUGAGAGGGGGAACGGCCACAUUGGGACUGAGAGACGGCGCAGACGCCUACGGGAGGCAGCAGUGGGGAAUAUUGCACAAUGGGCGGAAGCCUGAUGCAGCGACGCCGCGUGCGGGAUGACGGCCUUCGGGUUGUAAACCGCUUUCGACGGAGACGAAGCGAGAGUGACGGUAACGAGUAAAGAAGCACCGGCUAACUACGUG